rnacentral:rRNA from 1 species
AGAGUUUGAUCCUGGCUACAGGACGAACGCUGGCGGCGUGCUUAACACAUGCAAGUCGAACGGAAAGGCCCGCUUGCGGGUACUCGAGUGGCGAACGGGUGAGUAACACGUGGGCAACCUGCCCUCAGCUCUGGGAUAACUCCGGGAAACCGGUGCUAAUACUGGAUAGGACUUCGCAUCGCAUGGUGUGGGGUGGAAAGUUUUUCGGCUGAGGAUGGGCCCGCGGCCUAUCAGCUUGUUGGUGGGGUAAUAGCCUACCAAGGCGACGACGGGUAGCCGGCCUGAGAGGGCGACCGGCCACACUGGGACUGAGACACGGCCCAGACUCCUACGGGAGGCAGCAGUGGGGAAUAUUGCGCAAUGGGCGAAAGCCUGACGCAGCGACGCCGCGUGAGGGAUGACGGCCUUCGGGUUGUAAACCUCUUUCAGCUCUGACGAAGCGAAAGUGACGGUAGGAGCAGAAGAAGCACCGGCCAACUACGUG